AUAGCCAUCUUUCUUAUUCAACUUGUGGCGUGUUGUUAUAGAUCUGAAAGUGUUGCUUUACUAAUAAUGGCAAAAUGGUUGUCACUAAUAUCUUAUCAUUCAUGUGAAAAGCUGCCGGUUUUUGCUUCGCUUUUGACGAGUUUUAUGCUUCGUUUCUGAUUUUGCUAGUAGAACUGCUGUUUAGAGUAGGAUUUGAGUCUCCCCACUGAAGUUUGGAACUAUUCUCUUGAAUAUUUAGAAGAAUUCCAAGUUUUCCUUUGUAACAUUCCUUACAUGAAAUCAUCCUUUGAUUAUAGUGGGCAAAGCUUUAUGUGGGACCUUAGAGAUGCUCUUGUUGAAAUCUGGAAGUAUAUUUCUGGAAUAAAAGGUGGGCUUUUUUGGGUUGCUGUAUGGAAAUAUGCUGUUACCUCCUCAGAUAAUGAAGUUCCGAUUCGCUUGGAAACUGUCAACUUAUGGGGUUUUAACAAAUUUAUCAAAGGGUCUGUUGCGUUUCAGCAUGGCUUAAAGGAAUAUGAUACUGUUGUAGAUGCAUUUUAAACUAGAAAACUCAAAAUCAGUUUUAGUAUGAGAACGUAUUUCCUUAGAACUAUUAUCUGAAAAUGCAUAGAAGAGGCACUACCUGUCCUUGGGAAGUUAUGAUCCAAGUUUGUUCCUUAUUUACUACACAAUCAACUUCAUUAAACUUCCCCCCUUCCCUUUCCUUC